GAACACUUCGGUCAUGUCAUUUUGUUUUGCAUCCUUUCCUCUGUGGCUGAGGGAGGGAUGAGAGGUGAUAGGAGCAGAGCCCUCAGACUUAGGGGAGCACCUCCGAGGCUAACCUGGGACUGUUCUUUGUCCUCUUGCAGAAGUGAAAAUAACCCAGAUUGCCCUUUGACCUCCCCACUCUCCCCAAACUACUCUGCAGAGCCCACACCUCCAAAGUCUCACUGAAGCCUUUCCCAACCUGAGCUCUGUGGCUUGUGCUGUCUCCUGCAGCCCUCCUGACCCUCAGGCACCUCUGGCUGUGAACUGCUCUUCCUCUCAGUCCCAUAGCACUUUAUCCAGACACGUCUGGAGGCUCUUACCCAUCUUUGCAUGCUUUCCUGUGUUCAAUUGAUAUUUACUGAGCUCCAGUCAUAUGCCAGGCACUGUGCUGGGCACCAGAGACAUAGCAGUAAACAACAGCAAUUAGGAGUGGUAACUUUAAUUAGGCCAUUUAUAUGUAUGCACCAGGUUAGGUUCCAAGUCUUCAUGCACGUUAGCUAAUUUCAUAUGUAAGGUGUUAUUUACAAGGUACUGUUUGUGACAAGGUUCGAUUAUAGUUUCCAUUUAUAGGUCAGGAAUCUGGGGCAUAGUAUUUAGGUAAUUUAAUUAAGGUCACAUGCCUAGUAAGUGACAUAGCCAGCAUUUGAGGCAGGCAGCCUACUUACAGGACUCAGGCUCAGCAUCAGAGCACAACGCAGGGAUUAUAUGCUAGUGGUCCAUAGAUGGACAAAUGCACAGAAAAAACAGAGGUGGAGGAGAUACAGGAAGGGAAGAAAUAGGGUCAAGAGCUAGAGAGAGUCCUGGGAGGGCAAGAUCAGGGAGAGGCUCUUUGAAGAGGCCAUGUCUGAGCCAAAACCCGGGGGAAUAUGGGCCAAGCAAGGAGGACAGCAAUAGGCGAACUGAGGGGUUUGCAGGAGGCUUGGUGCGCUUGAGGAACAUGCACAGCAAGUGAGGCUGGAGAGUGGAGAGCAAGGAGAGAGCCAUGGGGAGUCGAAAGGACACUCUCUGCUUGGAGUUUGAGGAUUCGUGUGCAUGAGUGACCUCCUGCACUAGCGUCUUCUGGAGAGUAGCUGUUCAAUAAAUAAGAUGGAUGGAGUCGUCUAAUUUCCUGCCCAAAAUCCCCUCCACAGCUUGGGUGAUGGGCAAACAUCCUAGACCUUUGGGUAUUAGUAGAGCGUCUGCAGAAAGGACUCCUUACCCUUUCCCUUUGGGAUUUGGAAGAAAGAAAAAAGGUGCUAGGGGUCCUGCCGCAUGGAUGUGUUGAUUCCAUUCAUUCAUUCAUCCAAAUUCUGAGCAACUCCUAUGGCCAGGAAUUUUGAGAGGUGUGGGAAAGACAGAAAUGAAGGGCCAGCUCCUGCUUAUGGUCCCAUGGUUUUCUCCAGCCUGAGGUUUCAGUGUUUCACUUUUACUGUCUGCCCUUCCCCCUGUGCCUACCACGGAUUUUUCUGCAGGGGAGAAGAGUUGGGCAGAAGGCUGAACUAUUGAGGAUCCAGACUGGGACCUGGGCAGGGGCUGCUGCAAAUGCCAAAAACUGGGAGAGGCGGAGGGGUCUCCUGUGUGCAGCAGCCUUCGGAACCUUUUUGUGAUCACCCAAGGGGUUGGGUUACAGUGGCUUUUCGGAUGGAAGAGGAAGAGAAGACCAUAGCACUUGUUGGUGAAUUCAGACUUACAACAGUGGUUUUUGUUCAGGCACAUUCUGAAAGAAAGGCUGCACACUGAAAGGUCUGAGAAGCAUAAUCCAACAUAUUGGAAGAUCUUGCUCCUCCAUUCGAAGAUGACUCAGGCCAGUGACUUUCUUUUUGUUCCCCUGGAGCCAAGAGGGUGGCAGAGUUGGGAAGAAAGACACAUGGAAUUACUGGACAUUGAUGUCCUUUGCCCAACGUGCGUGUGGUCUGAACUAUGUGUCAGAGAGCGAGGGGAGUGAGAGGAAGAAGAGCUGCCCUCUGUCUUCUUCCCCUCAUGGGUUCUGUCUGCUGGGUUCUGUAGGAGUGUGGAUGCCUUCGCCUGCAGGCUUCCUUCUAACUCAAGGGUGUAAGAUUUUUAAAUUCUGACUCUGCCAUUGCCUCAGUUUCCUCCAGGGCGGAAGGGAGCCAGAACUCAUGCCCACUGGUCAUCUUCGCUGGUUUUGAGAUGGCUUCACCAAACAUGGAUGCCAUUGUGGGAGGGCAGAGUACAGCAGAGGAGAGGGACAGGCCCCACAGAUCUGAUGCCAGAUAGGAAAAGAGAGAACUCACAUCAAAUACUUCCUGGCAGAUUCCUGGCUGGUUGUGGGAAGCUGGCGGGACUGAAGAACAGUUCCCUGUUGGCCUUAUGAGACAAGCAAGAGUCUGGCAGGAUUUCUGGGAAAUGAGAAAGAGGAAAUAUGGACCUGUGAAUAGAAAGCAUGUUGAGUGUUAGGGACAAAGCUCCUCCCUCCUUAGAUAUUGAGAAAACAUGAUGGAGCUAGGCCACUGGAAACCCUGGGCACUGCUCUCAUCGAAACAUGAAACGGUUGGUCCUUCACUGAGAUCCCAAAGAUGGAAGUCCUGGGCCUACUGCCCAGACAAUCAGCUCCCAAGCCUCUGUGGCUGCACCCAUGCCUGGAGCUGGAAAAACUGCUUUUUAUCUGAUUACGACUUCCUGGCUGAAAACACUCAGGGGCUCUGUAGGGAACUGGUGAUCUGUCCUCCCAUAGCCUAGUGAUAGAUUAAGGGUCUAGGGAGUUAGGGAGAGCUUUAAUUGGGCCCCCUGGGUUUGAGCACACAUCUGACAGUUCUAAUUCUCCAGCUAUGUUUUCUGCAAACGGAUGGUCAUUUUGGGCUUUCUGGUCUCUAAUCCCUCAUUCAGCAAAGCAAACACCCUAAAUCCUCAAUAAUGCAGGUUUUACAGUCUCAUAUAUACAUAUCCAUGUUUCAGCACCGAGGCCAGCUCCACUCAUGAGCGGCAUAUGUUCCUGCAUCUGGAUGUAAGCAGUAUCAGGACUCUGGAAGCCGAACUUGGGUUUGGCAGGAAGGCAUCGCAUUGUGGAAGCCAGGUGACAUCUACACGGAGCCCUUUUUCCAGGCCUUGUCAUCGUGUUUCUUUGAAAGAGGCAGGACCUUCUUUAAAGUGACAGCUAGAUAAGGCAUCUCGUAGCCAAGAUGAGCUACAGGAGGAACAAUCUUUUACUGCACAUGAAGAUCAGCCACCAGGCAGUGGUGCCUUUGUGGAGGAAUGUCCGUUAUCACCGCUGUCAUCCCCACCGCCAUCCUCACCAUCAUCAUUCUUACUUUUUAUGGUCAGGGCAUAGUUUCACUUCAGUUCCUUGGACGUUCAGACUGUGUCUUGUUCAUUAGAUUGGCUGCUUUGCCUGGCACAAUGUCUGCCACAUGCCUGAUGCCUAAUGAACAUCAGCUAUUGUAAAUGUUUAUUAAAAGUCAAUGAAUUAUG